rnacentral:lncRNA from 1 species
CUCGCGCCCCCUUCCCCGCCCCGCGUUGGCCUCCAACAGGAAGUCGUCCCGGCCCCUGCCACGUGACCCCGCCGCAUCUGCAUACCGGAGGGCGAGCCGGCCAAUCGGCGCCCUGCACCCGAGCUCCGCCCCCGCGCGCCCCUCCCCGGCCCAUUGGUUCGUCCCGGGCAGGCCACGCCCCGUCCUUCCCCCUUAAUACCCGCUCGCGUUGUGGUUCCGCAGACUGCGCGGGGAGCGCGCCGGGGUGCGAGCGGGCGGGCGCGCGCGCUCCCCCGGCCCGGGCGCGUGCAGGUCUCGGGGGCUCGGGCGACCUCCUUGCCGGUCCGUGGGCGCUGCAGCUCGGUGGAAGCGCGCUGGGCCGCGGGGCGCAACGUCCGCCCGGUUCGCUCCGCGCGCGCCCUGCGGCGCCUGGGCCCCGGGGUCGCGCGGCGUUUUGGCCCCGCGGCGCCAGCCCUCCGUGCAGCCCCGACCGGCGCCCGCCCCGACGCGCGUCCAGCCCGUGCCGUGCACACGCCCUGCACCUCCCCACCGUGCACACACUCGCACACGCGCCGACCCGGGCCCGGGAGCAUCCUGCCAGCCGCGCGCCUCCCAGCCUCCCCUUGCACGCAGCGGCUCCCGGGGGAGCGCCCUGCUGCGAACCAAACAAACCUCCCUACGCAACGGCUCCCCCGCCCCCGAGAGCGAACCGCCCUCCCCCACCACGCGGGCCCCGGGCCCGGGGGCGGGAGGGACCCAGACGCUCCGGCGCUCGGUACCCAGUGCUGGUCCGCCAUCCCGCCGCUGCUCGUCGGUGCACAGUCGUCAUGAGCCGUAGGGUCGUGGGGGCAGGCCAGCUUUCCCCUUGGCGCGGUGGAAGGAAGCUCAGCGGGGCUACUUGAAAGUUGCUGGAGCCGCAGGAGGCCGUUCCCUGUCUACGUGUCCCCAUCUUGCAGAGCAGAUAAUGACACACUACUUUCGCAAUGCAAUUUUGUUACCGCAAGUGUCAGGCUUUGAGAGUUUGAGGAUGAAAGAGACACAAGAAAUUCCCCGCUCUGGUUUCCCAUCAGGGUCUCAUGAGCUCGGUGCUCUCCCUUCUCCUUUACUGCCGUAUCGUGAAGCCCUCCGGUAGCCAGAUGCACAAACCACUCUGCAAAGUCGUCUUCAAAUGUCUGUUGUGUGUUUCCCCUUCCCCAAAACCCCAUGUCACGUAGAAGGAUCUGAAGUCAGAUUUUAUUUACAUUAAUUCUUGACUGCGGAGAAACCUGCAUUUUUUUUCCCUUUUUAUUUUAUUUUAUUUUUUUUUGCAUUUCUCAAAAAUAGACAUAUUAUCACAUGCUUCAGGAGGGAGUGCAAAAUAAAUAACAUCUUCAAAAUAAGCA